UACGGAGGGUGCGAGCGUUGUCCGGAAUCACUGGGCGUAAAGGGCGCGUAGGUGGCGCGGGCAGUCAACGGUGAAAGUUCGGGGCUCAACCCUGAAUCGGCCGUCGAUACUCCCGUGCUCGAGCACUGUAGAGGCUCAUGGAAUUCCGGGUGUAGCGGUGGAAUGCGUAGAGAUCCGGAAGAACACCGGUGGCGAAGGCGGUGAGCUGGGCAGUAGCUGACACUGAGGCGCGAAAGCGUGGGGAGCAAACAGG
rnacentral:rRNA from 1 species